rnacentral:pre_miRNA from 1 species
CAGAACAUAAACACUCUCAUUUGGUGGCAGUUGCAACGGUUAUAUAAUAAUAAUAAUAAUAAUAACCGUUGCAACUGCCACCAAAUGAGAGUGUUAAUGUUCUG